CCCAGACGCGACUGCCGUCGCUGUCCCCGUUUCCCUUUCCAUCAUCAUCAUGUUGGACAUCUUCAUCCUCAUGUUUUUUGCCAUCAUAGGCCUGGUCGUCUUAUCCUACAUCAUCUACAUGCUGUAGCAGAGUCUCCAGCCGCCGCCAGCCAGCCAGCCAGCCGCCGAGGGAGGAUGGCUACGCUUCUCGCCAUUUAACGCAGCCGUGGUCCAGGCAGGAGACACCACCCUGGCUCAGGGCCAUGUUUACAUCUCAACAACCUAGUCUGGCAAAGCAGUUCCAGAGCUUUCUGGAGAAAGGUUAACCCUUUGCAGACCUGAUGAGCAAAGAGAAGAAUGAUUCAGCGGAAUGAUGUGAAGCUGCGUCUCAAGCUGUUGAAAGACUGCGUUGGAAAUGCCACUGGAAGAGCCAUCCACAAAAGCAGAUAGCAAGAGUACGGAAUAGGGUGGUUCUAAGGAGAGGGAGAAAGCUUUUGCCAAUAUUAUCCUGGCAUAGGGAGGGGGGAAAGAGGUUGAUUUUCUGUGUCUUUGAUAUGUGACCACUGAAUGGAGAAAGUAUUUUCUGUCACUUUAAGUUCUACAAUAUAGAUUAGUUAAAAACCCCAUGGAAGAGGGGAAACCAGACUGAUAAACCAACUGCAUUAUAUUUAGUUGCCACACUGAAAUCCCAACAGAGAUCAUUUAUGUGCCGAAAAUGAGUUCUUACACAUAGACUGGCAGUACAAAGUGUGCAAAAGCCUGUGGGAUGAUAGACAGGGAGCUGCAGCUUCCAGCAGCAUAGUAGUGUAUUCAAAACAUGAUGCCUAAUUAAUUCUUAUGUGGAUAUGUAUGCUAACACUACUGUACAUAAGUUGAGGAUGCUGCUACUGCUGUUGCCAGGUUCAGGAUGUUUAUUUUCCUCAUUUUUUUUAAAAAAAGAAACCUUUUCAGGAAGUAUUUUUAUACAGGAGUGCCCCAGUAUCUUCAAAGUAGAAAAAAUUAUUGCAGUGACACCAUGAAGUUCCUGCAAGAUGUAAACAGAAAAUUAUUUUUGUCUGAUAUGAAAGCUAAGGAUUUCUGCAAAAAGAGGGGGAGGGAUAUGGGAGGAAUAUGAAAAGCAAAUGUGGUUUGAUUAUCACUGGGGAGGGGUGAUUUCUUCAGCAGAAAAUGCUUGUAUAAUAACUUGGAAACUCCCAGAGUAGGGAAGUAUAGCGCAAUUACUAACAUAGAGAAGAACCUGACCUUGGAGAGAAGUAUUGCAGUUUGUAACUUUUGCUUCUGUAUUAGAAAGCAACACUGUUGUCUUUUCCAUGGGCCAGGAGAGGGGUCCUCCCUUGGGUAUUUUCCAAGAGGUAGCUGUUUGAGCAGAACAAAAACAAAAGAAAAAGAAAAAGAAAAGGAGUCUUUAAGGCUAACAGAUUUAUUUUGGCAUGAUAUUUUCUGGGUUAUAAUCCACCUCCUCACAGGCUCCUUUGGUUAGUGGCAGAAAACUCCACUGUUGUUCUUUGUUCUGUCAUUACAGCUCCAGAAGAAAAGGGAAAUAUAGACAUAGGGAGACAUAUCAAUGUUGUACUGGGGAGGGGAAGGUUUGGGAUCUACCAGAUCCAAAUAAUCUCCCUAUUUUUCUAGUCACACCCUGAAAUGAGGCAGGAGCCACACCAGCCUAUAGCUGGCACAGUUGCUUUGUGCCCCCUGGAAACCAUGAGAAGGGAGUAGUUAAAAUCUAUAUGAAUGAAUGAAUGAAUGAAUGAAUGAAUGAAUGAAUGAAUGAAUGAAUGAAUGAAUGAAUGAAUGAAUGAAACAGAAAAGAUGUAAACCAUCUCUCAGUUUUUGCCCUAGUUAACACAAGCCUGGGAGGCCUUGGCAGUUCCUUCCACUCCAUCCCCACAUAUUUCUGCUCUUUCAAAUGUACAUGGUCCAAUAUUUAUGGCUCUAAAAGGAGUUUUUCCUGAAAUGUGGAAAGUAAAAAAAGAGAGUCUCAUACACACAUAUCAAUGCAGUUGGUUCUGAAAAUUUUGAAAUGUUGUGAAAUAAUUUCUUUAACAUCAGUAAACUUCAAAGCACCUUG